UUUCUAAUUUAUUUUAUUUUGCAUUUGAAGUGUCUGGCCUUCUGUUAUGACGUUGUAGGGUACAUUUUAGUUCACUAGAUUUGCCUCCAGACUGCUGAGGUUCCCAUUGAGCAUGGAUAAAAAUCACCCAGAUUACACAACUGUGACCACAAGCACGGGUUAAUGUGCAGUCAUCAUGAUGAAAGACAAUUACAAUAACAGCAACUUGUAUUUAUAGAACAAUUUUAAAGAAAUGCAGAGAAGUGUUAUUAGACAAUUUGACAACUAGAGAUAUUCCAGGAAUGACCAAAUGUUUGCUUAACAAUAGGAUUGGGAGUAUUUUAUAAUAAAGGAAUUUCAGGUCGGUCAAAAACAGGCACACAGACAGAUCUACGGUGCAAUUAAAAUCAGGGACCCUCAAGGAGCUAGAAUUACAACAGCAUAGACAUUUUGCAGGAAAUAGAAAAGUGAGACACAGGGAUUUAAAUGAUUCCUCACUACGUCUAUUAAGACACAUUAUAAAUCAGUGAUUCAGCUUUUCAAGACCAAGGGAUAAUUAGGACCUUGUAUGUGGUUAGAUUGAGAAGUGCGCAUGAAUUAAAAAUACAUUUACAGUAUACAGUACACAUUAACCCCUCCCUCUCUACAGGACGCCGAUGAUGAGUGCAGUUCCUUCGGCCACACUUGUGCAUUAACCGAGCCGUCUCUCGGCAGUCCCCAGGUUGUGAACAAGUUCCUUACUGGACUACGUUUGCAAGUUGAUUUGUACGCAAAUUGAACAAGAAUGCAAGACAAUAUAAAGGCGCUGUUUAACAUGUCCUUGUCUGACUGAAGAUCAGGAUGCCCAGGGUGAUUGAUGCAGGUGUGCGUCACCUGAUGCACAGACUCUUUCACAGACAGGUGCAUUGCCUGCCUUGUGUGAAAAUAUUCAGCGACUGCCCAUCAUGGUAAACAGGUUGAAGAAAAAUAAACUUAACGAUCCAUCUCGUGAACUUCAACUCUGGAAAAUCUUUCUAGGAUUCCAAUCAGUUAGGAUCAUAGAAUCAUACAUUACAGAAGAGGUCCUUCAACCCAUUGAGUCUAUACCACCAAAGCUUCACUGUGUAGUGAUUAGAACAAGUCAGCCAGGUGGAUCUCAUUAAAUAUGAGUUCCCUUAUUGGAGUUGUUAACCUGGUCCAAUCA